rnacentral:sRNA from 12 species
GGCAACACGAACGGUCGUUCGGUCAAUGAGUAAGUCCCCCAUUUCAGGGGA